UCCGAGAAAACAACGAAGAAGAAACCAAACUACGGCGUAACGCACUGCCAUUGACAUAAAGCUAUGGUUGGAUAGAGACGACGAGUAAAACGACGACGAGGAAAAAGAAAUUGAUCUGAAAGCAGAGGGCACACAAGCACUCGGUGAGAUUGGAAAGUGCAUACACAAGAAGAUGGACCGCCUUGAAGAAGAUUGUGGUGGACCUAGAGCAUUUGAUUGAGGAGACUGAUGGCGUGACUGUGAAUGAAGAAAUAUUGUGGAAAUUUCAAGACACAACCCAACACCUAGUGCGAAUGCAGGGAAGC